rnacentral:rRNA from 1 species
CUGGGUUUGACAUAUACCGGAAACAUCUGGAGACAGGUGCCCCGCAAGGUCGGUAUACAGGUGGUGCAUGGCUGUCGUCAGCUCGUGUCGUGAGAUGUUGGGUUAAGUCCCGCAACGAGCGCAACCCUCGUUCUAUGUUGCCAGCGGUUCGGCCGGGAACUCAUAGAAGACUGCCGGGGUCAACUCGGAGGAAGGUGGGGAUGACGUCAAGUCAUCAUGCCCCUUAUGUCCAGGGCUUCACGCAUGCUACAAUGGCUGGUACAAAGGGCUGCAAUAUCGCAAGAUGGAGCGAAUCCCAUAAAGCCAGUCUCAGUUCGGAUUGGGGUCUGCAACUCGACCCCAUGAAGUCGGAGUCGCUAGUAAUCGCAGAUCAGCAACGCUGCGGUGAAUACGUUCCC